GAUGAACGCUGGCGGCAUGCCUAAUACAUGCAAGUCGAACGAGAGGAAGGAAAGCUUGCUUUUCUGAAUCUAGUGGCGAACGGGUGAGUAACACGUAGGUAACCUGCCCAUGUGCCCGGGAUAACUUCUGGAAACGGAUGCUAAAACCGGAUAGGUAGCAGACAAGCAUUUGACUGCUAUUAAAGUGGCUAAGGCCAUGAACAUGGAUGGACCUGCGGUGCAUUAGCUAGUUGGUGAGGUAACGGCCCACCAAGGCGACGAUGCAUAGCCGGCCUGAGAGGGCGGACGGCCACAUUGGGACUGAGACACGGCCCAAACUCCUACGGGAGGCAGCAGUAGGGAAUUUUCGUCAAUGGGGGGAACCCUGAACGAGCAAUGCCGCGUGAGUGAAGAAGGUCUUCGGAUCGUAAAGCUCUGUUGUAAGAGAAAAACGACAUUCAUAGGGAAUGAUGAGUGAGUGAUGGUAUCUUACCAGAAA
rnacentral:rRNA from 1 species